GCAGCCGUGGCCGAGUUGUUAAGGCGAUGGCCUAGACAUCAAUUGGGGUAUCCCCGCACAGGUUCGAAUCCUGUCCACUGCG
rfam:Ixodes scapularis strain Wikel colony gcontig_1107729098846, whole genome shotgun sequence.